rnacentral:lncRNA from 10 species
AAUGGCUUAGCUUGGGCUCAGAAGCCUGACACUGAUCUUCAAACACAGAUCUGACCCUAAGCCUUUUUCCACGCUGCUAACGUGAUGACUGUCUUCAGGAUGACCCUCCCCAAAACGCAGGUACUGUUUUUCUCACUUCAGCUUUCAAGUCACCCAGCCAACAAAUGUUGAGCACAGAAGGAAUAACAAUUAUAGCAGCUGAGACUACUCGGACUCUAUCAGAUGGGAGGAUACAUUUCUUUUCCAAGGUUAUUGUGAGGAUCAGGUGAGGUUUGCACAUACUCUUGCUUCGUGGACAGACUGAGUCUACAGAGCUGUGUUUAAACUCUGGCCCCUCAACACACUGUAUGGCUUUGGGCAAUAACUAACCUUACCUACCUGUAAAACGGAGAUAACAGAACCUCAAGGUGCUGCUGUGAAGGUUACAUGAAGCGAGACAUGUGACGUGCUUGGCAUGUGGUAAUGACUUUGUAAACACAAGCUGCAAUUAUGUGUGUAGAAAACCUUGGAGACAGAAGAUGCAGUAAUGAAGACUUUCAUGAAAAUGAGUCAGGUGUUAAAAUAACUUAAUGUAUGUUUGGUUCUCUUGGUAAUUCUACUCCACCCCCACCCCAUUCUAUCAUUGUCUGUCUUUCUAGUUCUCUCAGUUGAAAAGACUCCACUUGAGAAGGCCCCAGCCCACCUGUUUCAAAAUACAGGGAAAAAUGCCAAAUAGCCUCCCCAGCUGGGCCCUAACUGCCUCUGAUAAAAAGGAUGAAGAGAGGUGAAUUCUGAAAAUUAAACAAAUCCUGGUGUCUUUGAAAGGUCACCCAGCUCUGACGUUGGCCGUCCCGUAGGUGACAGACCGCAGGGCCAGCCGGCAGGAAGAAGGGAGACUCAGGAGCAAUUAAAACCAAAGUCUAGGGUGGCCAGAGAGGAAGGCCCCAGGAUGCCACUCCCAGCAGGUAAGCAGCCUGCAACGAGAUGAUGGAGACUUGUUCUGCAGAGCUAGCUGUUCACAAGUGCCUUGUGAACACCUACUUUGUAUAAGCAGCAAGAAUCAAAUUCUGUCCCUCCAUGGAAGAACCCACUUUCUAGUGGAAUGUUAGCACUUCCCUCCAUCCCAGCAGCAGACAAGGAUUCUAUCUCCAGAGGUAGACUUCUGAUCUCUCAGCAGCAACACAGAUGAAGAGGAUGGUUCCAGGGCUUUGACUUCACUGGGAUGCUGCUUUUCAUGGGAACCUGCAGGAGAAAUACCAUCAUCACUUCUAGCAUCUAGGGUACUUCUACUGUUAUGAUUCUGAGCGUGGGUGAUGGCUCAUCUGGGCACCUACUCUCUGCAAGGCUGUGAACCUGAUCCUCUGAGUAAUCUUCAUGACAGUCCUGAGGGGGUGAAGUUGUCCCCACUUGGGGACAGUGAAUGAUGGAAUGAUCUGAUCCCACAUCUUCUGCCAAAGCACACACCAUAGAAACAAGUACGAAGUGCAUUCUUAAUUCUUCAUGACAGGUGCUGCUUAUUCUAUUUUUAAGGUGGGAAAUUGCAGGUUAUAGAGAAUAAGGUUUUGCAUGAUUGUAGAGCUAGUAAAUGGUGGGUGGGUGGUAACUAUCUCUUCAGGCUGCUGCUUAGAACCUGUAUGCUCCCCAUUCUCAUCCCCUUGCAUCUAAGGUUCCUGUUCCCCAAUGGAAAACCCCUUUGGGAAGCUGAUUCCCCUGCAGCUGUAGAGGGGAGUUUGAGGUUCCCUUGACUCUUCUGUUGAAUGACUGCUGAAUGAAGGUGUCUCCCCUAAAGAGAGCAUUCCUGACACUGUCAUCAUCCCUCCAGUUCUCCCAGAAGCAGACCUUGAGACAAGGAGUUGUGUGCCAGGGAAUUAUCAAUGGAUUGUCUCCAGGAGGAACUGGGAAGGGAGAGGGGAAGCAGGAUAGGAAAGGGUAGAAUUCCAGCAAGGGUAUGAUUUCAGGCAAAUCCCAGCCUGAGCCUGAUCCUGCAGGGUGCUGUGGGGCACAGUGUAGCCUCUUAAUAGGUCUUGAUUCCCAGCAAGGGACCUGAGCUUCUAUUGUCCCCACCAGUCAGUCACUGCAUGGGGGGCUGCCCUAGAACAUAAAGUCCCAGACACUUCUGUCUCUGUGGGUGAGGCCAAAGCAACUCCAAUGCCCCCUGGGAAGUUUCAUUGCUUUCAUCUCUUGUGACCAUCAAUCUAUUGCAACGUGUGCUGUAGCCUACCCCACCCCCAGACGGCUGUCCCUCUGGUCAUUAUUGUCCUAGUCCCAGGACCAGGUGGAGGUCUCCUUAUAAAUCCUAUCUCCCUUUUGUGAAAUGAAGUGGUCGUUUGCAGUGUUUUAAAGGGAGAAUGAAAUAUUCCAGUCAGAAGGACUUUCUUCUGACAGCACGUUACAUGAAAACUGCCAACUCUUUAUACUUAAGACUUCUGUCUACUCAAUUCAUUGAUCCUCCCUCCUCCCCCUCCCACAACACUUAAGCUAUGUAGAAGUGAGUUUCUCAAAGAACUAUCAGGAAGUGUGAGUUGCUCAUUCUUUUGGAAAGCAAUCUAGUGAACUCUAAAAUUCCAAAAUUGCAUGGCCUUUGACCCAGCAGAACUCUAGCCUAGCAAUAGUAAGUACAAUAGUAAGUACUCGACAGGCACACAGUGGUGUUGACUGUAGCCCAUCUUAUAACAUCCAAAGAACUGGGCAUGACCUGCACGUCCAUCCGUAAGGAAGAGGCUGGGGGUGGUGAUCCGUCUGGACUGUGGAACAAGCUUGUCCAACCUGUGGCCUGCAAGCACCCCAGGAUGGCUUUUGUGGCCCAACACAAAUUUGUAAACUUUCUUAAAAUAUAUUUUCACAAUGAUUUUUUUUUAGCUCAUCAGCUAUCGAUAGCGUAUUUUAUUUUAUGUGUGGCCCAAGACCAUUCUUCCAAUAUGGCCAAGGGAAGCCAAAAGAUUGGACACCCUUGGUGUGGAAUACCAUGCGACUGUUAAAAAGAGACCCAUGAAUUCUAUGUUGAAAAUGUGUCCGGGAUGUAUUAGCAAAAAACACACACUGCAGAAUAACAAUACAGUGCAAAUUCCCCCCUCUUUUUUUUGAGACAGGGUUUCUCUCACCCAGGCUGUAGUGCAGUGGUGUGAUCAUAGCUCACUGCAGCCUCAACCUCCCGGGCUCAAGUGAUCCACCUCAGCCUCCCAAAUUGCUGAGAUUAUAGAUGUGAGCCACCGUGACUGGCCGGCAAUCUCACUUUUGCCAAAGUGGGUAAAUCCUACAUGUAUGCAUGUUUACAUAAGAAUGGAGAAAAGUGGGGGAAGUAAUACAUCAAAAGAUGAUGACUGGUUAGUCCUGAGUGAUUGGACAGUAUAGCUCUCUGCAUUACUUUUCCUUAAAGAUACAGCUUUGUAAUAUUGAAUAAGUUACAAAGGUAAACUUUAAAACUGAAAUGUUGGGAGCUGCUGGUUGAAGCAGGAAGGUGGAGCAAGCCUCAUUCCUAGCCUCCAGCUUCCCUCUUCCCUCCUGUUCUCCUGGGCAGGCAUGUGGAUUGCAGGGCCUCACCUCCUUGGUCCUCCUGGGACAUCUCACAUUGACACAGCCCACGCUGCUCAGCCCACCAGCUCUCAGCAGGCCUGCUGCCCCUGCCCUGACCCCGGUUCUCUGAGAGGUUGAAAGGCCAUGGUGAGAUAACCCAGCUCCGUGCCCCCACCUGGCAGAAGAUCAGUUAAAAGGCAUCCAAGCGGAGGACCCCCGUGGCUGCCUAUUUAGAGUUCCUUCAGAGCCUCCCAUGAUAACAGCCACCAUGGCUGAGCGCUUACAUAGCAGAGCUUACAGCUAAGAGCAUGGACUCUGAAAUAAGUCACCUGUCAUCUCCAGGCCUUAGUUUGCUCUUCUGUGAAAUGGGCAUAACGGUACCUCUCAGAGUGGUUAUAACUAAAAGAUCAUAUGCAUGAAAAGACAUACUGCAUGUUGCAUGUUGUCAUGUGGGAACUAAAAGUUGAUCUUGUAGAGUAGAAUAGUGGUUACUGGAGGAUGGGAAGGGUCAGGGGUGCAGGUGGAGAUAGCCCAAGGUAGGUGAAUGGAUACGAAGUUACAGCUAGCUAGGAGGAAUGAGCUCCAGUGUUUUAUAGCAUUGUAGGUGACUGUGAUAGUAAUUUGUUGUAUAUUUUCAAAUAGCCAGAAGGGCAGAUUUUGAAUGUUCCCAACACAAAGAAAUGAUCAAUGUUUAAGGUGAUUUUUAUGUCAAUUACCCUGAUUUGAUCAUUAUACAUUGCAUAACUAUUGUAAUAUCACUGUACCCUAUAAAUAUGUGCAGUUAUGUCAAAUAAAAGCAAAAAUGCUAAAAAAGAU